rnacentral:lncRNA from 1 species
UUGAAUAUUAAAUUACACCACCCCAACAACCCUCCAAUCCCCCAUUUCUACCCCAUCAACUCUUCUAUUCAAUUUUUUUUACUUUCCCUUUUCAAUUUUUUUUUUACUUUCCCUCCCUUUUUACCCCAAAAAUCAAAUCCCCCCACAAACUUUUUAUCCCCUUUACCUCCAAAUAUUUUUACUCUCCCUCCCCUUUUACUCC